GAUGAAGAACGCAGCGAAAUGCGAUAAGUAGUGUGAAUUGCAGAAUUCAGUGAAUCAUCGAAUCUUUGAACGCACAUUGCGCCCCAUGGUAUUCCGUGGGGCAUGCCUGUUCGAGCGUCAUUUACCCCCUCAAGCUCCGCUUGGUGUUGGGCGUCUGUCCCGCUUCGCGCGCGGACUCGCCCCAAAGGUAUUGGCAGCGGUCGUGCCAGCUUCUCGCGCAGCACAUUGCGCUUCUCGAGGCACCGGUGGGCCCGCGUCCAUCAAGCUCACCCCCCCAGUUUGACCUCGGAUCAGGUAGGGAUACCCGCUGAACUUAAGCAUACAAUAAGCGGAGGA
rnacentral:misc_RNA from 1 species